AGUCGAGGGGUAGAGUUAGCUUGCUAACUUGAGACCGGCGCACGGGUGCGUAACGCGUAUGCAAUCUACCUUUCACAAAGGGAUAGCCCAGAGAAAUUUGGAUUAAUACCUUAUAGUAUAUAUGAAUGGCAUCAUUUAUAUAUUAAAGAUUUAUCGGUGAAAGAUGAGCAUGCGUCCCAUUAGCUAGUUGGUAAGGUAACGGCUUACCAAGGCAACGAUGGGUAGGGGUCCUGAGAGGGAGAUCCCCCACACUGGUACUGAGACACGGACCAGACUCCUACGGGAGGCAGCAGUGAGGAAUAUUGGACAAUGGGCGCAAGCCUGAUCCAGCCAUGCCGCGUGCAGGAUGACGGUCCUAUGGAUUGUAAACUGCUUUUAUACGAGAAGAAACCCUCCGACGUGUCGGAGCUUGACGGUAUCGUAAGAAUAAGGAUCGGCUAACUCCGUGCCAGCAGCCGCGGUAAUACGGAGGAUCCAAGCGUUAUCCGGAAUCAUUGGGUUUAAAGGGUCCGUAGGCGGUCAGGUAAGUCAGUGGUGAAAGCCCAUCGCUCAACGGUGGAACGGCCAUUGAUACUGCCUGACUUGAAUUAUUAGGAAGUAACUAGAAUAUGUAGUGUAGCGGUGAAAUGCUUAGAGAUUACAUGGAAUACCAAUUGCGAAGGCAGGUUACUACUAAUGGAUUGACGCUGAUGGACGAAAGCGUGGGUAG
rnacentral:rRNA from 1 species